GAUGAACGCUGGCGGCGUGCCUAAUACAUGCAAGUCGAGCGAACGGACGAGAAGCUUGCUUUUCUGAUGUUAGCGGCGGACGGGUGAGUAACACGUGGAUAACCUACCUAUAAGACUGGGAUAACCUCGGGAAACCGGAGCUAAUACCGGAUAAUAUUUUGAACCGCAUGGUUCAAAAGUGAAAGACGGUCUUGCUGUCACUUAUAGAUGGAUCCGCGCUGCAUUAGCUAGUUGGUAAGGUAACGGCUUACCAAGGCAACGAUGCAUAGCCGACCUGAGAGGGUGAUCGGCCACACUGGAACUGGGACACGGUCCAGACUCCUACGGGAGGCAGCAGUAGGGAAUCUUCCGCAAUGGGCGAAAGCCUGACGGAGCAACGCCGCGUGAGUGAUGAAGGUCUUCGGAUCGUAAAACUCUGUUAUUAGGGAAGAACAUAUGUGUAAGUAACUGUGCACAUCUUGACGGUACCUAAUCAGAAAGCCACGGCUAACUACGUG
rnacentral:rRNA from 1 species